GCUAACGUCCGUCGUGAAAAGGGAAACAACCCAGACCGUCAGCUAAGGUCCCAAAGUCCUGGUUAAGUGGGAAACGAUGUGGGAAGGCUUAGACAGCUAGGAGGUUGGCUUAGAAGCAGCCAUCCUUUAAAGAAAGCGUAAUAGCUCACUAGUCGAGUCGGCCUGCGCGGAAGAUGUAACGGGGCUCAAACCAGGCACCGAAGCUACGGGUGUCAUCUUUGAUGACGCGGUAGAGGAGCGUUCUGUAAGCCUGUGAAGGUGAGUUGAGAAGCUUGCUGGAGGUAUCAGAAGUGCGAAUGCUGACAUGAGUAACGACAAUGGGUGUGAAAAACAUCCACGCCGAAAGACCAAGGGUUCCUGCGCAACGUUAAUCGACGCAGGGUUAGUCGGCUCCUAAGGCGAGGCUGAAAAGCGUAGUCGAUGGGAAACGGGUCAAUAUUCCCGUACUUCUAGUUACUGCGAUGGGGGGACGGAGAAGGCUAGGCCAGCACGGCGUUGGUUGUCCGUGUUUAAGGUGGUAGGCCGAGAUCUUAGGCAAAUCCGGGAUCUCAAGGCCGAGAACUGAUGACGAGCGUUCUUUACGAAUGCGAAGUGGUUGAUGCCAUGCUUCCAGGAAAAGCCUCUAAGCUUCAGGUAACUAGGAACCGUACCCCAAACCGACACAGGUGGUCGGGUAGAGAAUACCAAGGCGCUUGAGAGAACUCGGGUGAAGGAACUAGGCAAAAUGGCACCGUAACUUCGGGAGAAGGUGCGCCGGUGAGUGUGAAAGACUUGCUCUGUAAGCACACGCCGGUCGAAGAUACCAGGCCGCUGCGACUGUUUAUUAAAAACACAGCACUCUGCAAACACGAAAGUGGACGUAUAGGGUGUGACGCCUGCCCGGUGCCGGAAGGUUAAUUGAUGGGGUUAGCGAAAGCGAAGCUCUUGAUCGAAGCCCCGGUAAACGGCGGCCGUAACUAUAACGGUCCUAAGGUAGCGAAAUUCCUUGUCGGGUAAGUUCCGACCUGCACGAAUGGCGUAACGAUGGCGGCGCUGUCUCCACCCGAGACUCAGUGAAAUUGAAAUCGCUGUGAAGAUGCAGUGUAUCCGCGGCUAGACGGAAAGACCCCGUGAACCUUUACUGUAGCUUUGCACUGGACUUUGAGCCUGCUUGUGUAGGAUAGGUGGGAGGCUUUGAAGCGUGGACGCCAGUUCGCGUGGAGCCAUCCUUGAAAUACCACCCUGGCAUGCUUGAGGUUCUAACUCUGGCCCGUUAUCCGGGUCGAGGACAGUGUAUGGUGGGCAGUUUGACUGGGGCGGUCUCCUCCUAAAGAGUAACGGAGGAGUACGAAGGUGCGCUCAGACCGGUCGGAAAUCGGUCGCAGAGUAUAAAGGCAAAAGCGCGCUUGACUGCGAGACAAACACGUCGAGCAGGUACGAAAGUAGGUCUUAGUGAUCCGGUGGUUCUGUAUGGAAGGGCCAUCGCUCAACGGAUAAAAGGUACUCCGGGGAUAACAGGCUGAUACCGCCCAAGAGUUCAUAUCGACGGCGGUGUUUGGCACCUCGAUGUCGGCUCAUCACAUCCUGGGGCUGAAGCCGGUCCCAAGGGUAUGGCUGUUCGCCAUUUAAAGUGGUACGCGAGCUGGGUUUAGAACGUCGUGAGACAGUUCGGUCCCUAUCUGCCGUGGACGUUUGAGAUUUGAGAGGGGCUGCUCCUAGUACGAGAGGACCGGAGUGGACGAACCUCUGGUGUUCCGGUUGUCACGCCAGUGGCACUGCCGGGUAGCUAUGUUCGGAAGAGAUAACCGCUGAAAGCAUCUAAGCGGGAAACUUGCCUCAAGAUGAGAUCUCACUGGAGCCUCGAGCUCCCUGAAGGGCCGUCGGAGACUACGACGUUGAUAGGCUGGGUGUGUAAGCGUUGUGAGGCGUUGAGCUAACCAGUACUAAUUGCCCGUGAGGCUUGACCA
rnacentral:rRNA from 1 species